GACGAACGCUGGCGGCGUGCUUAACACAUGCAAGUCGAACGGAAAGGCCCUGCUUUUGUGGGGUGCUCGGGUGGCGAACGGGUGGGUAACACGUGAGUAACCUGCCCUUGACUUUGGGAUAACUUCAGGAAACUGGGGCUAAUACCGGAUAGGAGCUCCUGCUGCAUGGUGGGGGUUGGAAAGUUUCGGCGGUUGGGGAUGGACUCGCGGCUUAUCAGCUUGUUGGUGGGGUAGUGGCUUACCAAGGCUUUGACGGGUAGCCGGCCUGAGAGGGUGACCGGCCACAUUGGGACUGAGAUACGGCCCAGACUCCUACGGGAGGCAGCAGUGGGGAAUAUUGCACAAUGGGCGGAAGCCUGAUGCAGCAACGCCGCGUGCGGGAUGACGGCCUUCGGGUUGUAAACCGCUUUCGCCUGUGACGAAGCGUGAGUGACGGUAAUGGGUAAAGAAGCACCGGCUAACUACGUG
rnacentral:rRNA from 1 species